UACAUCUUUGGUUUUGGCAGUUUUGCCCUGGGUUCUAACUCUAUGGCACAAUCAGUGGCUCGAUGGAGAGGUAAAACAUUGUAUUCCUCUUCACUGAACACUUCAGCCAAGUCUCUAUAUUGGUAAUGUAUCCAG